CGAAGGUGGCAAGCGUUGUUCGGAUUCACUGGGCGUACAGGGUGUGUAGGCGGUUUGGUAAGCCUUCUGUUAAAGCUUCGGGCCCAACCCGGAAAGCGCAGAGGGUACUGCCAGGCUAGAGGGCGGGAGAGGAGCGCGGAAUUCCCGGUGUAGCGGUGAAGUGCGUAGAGAUCGGGAGGAAGGCCGGUGGCGAAGGCGGCGCUCUGGAACGUACCUGACGCUGAGACACGAAAGCGUGGGGAGCAAACAGGAUUAGAUACCCUGGUAGUCCACGCCCUAAACUAUGGAUACUAAGUGUCGGCGGGUUACCGCCGGUGCCGCAGCUAACGCAUUAAGUAUCCCGCCUGGGAAGUACGGCCGCAAGGUUG
rnacentral:rRNA from 1 species